UUCAAAUAGUGUCUUUAGUUGUCGUUGUUGUGUUGUAAUUGUUACCCAGAUGUACUGUAUUGUGCAGUACUUCCUGUUCACUGUGUAGCCUUUCAUCUCUGCAUGGUUCUUUCUCUGGUCUCUGCAGUGGAGGACUAUUUAUCACCAGGUCUGCCUGCUGGUGCCAUUGCUGGUAUUGUGAUUGGAGUAUUGCUGGUUGUAGGAAGGGCAGUUGGUGUUGCAGUGUUCUUCAUCAGGAAAAAUGGAACCAAUGCUGAGCCAAUGCAUCAAGGAGGCUCUCAACAACCAGUAUAUGAGGACCUAUCACCUGUAUAUGAGAACACAAGACAAAAUCAAUCUCCACCUCUACCC